rnacentral:rRNA from 1 species
GGGCCCGCACAAGCGGUGGAGCAUGUGGUUUAAUUCGAUGAUACGCGAGGAACCUUACCAGGGCUUAAAUGUAGUCUGACAGGGGUGGAAACACCCCCUCCUUCGGGCAGAUUACAAGGUGCUGCAUGGUUGUCGUCAGCUCGUGCCGUGAGGUGUCAGGUUAAGUCCUAUAACGAGCGCAACCCCUGCCGUUAGUUGCCAGCAUGUAAUGAUGGGAACUCUAACGGGACUGCCGGUGCAAACCGCGAGGAAGGUGGGGAUGACGUCAAAUCAUCACGGCCCUUACGUCCUGGGCUACACACGUGCUACAAUGGCCGGUACAGAGGGCAGCCACACCGCAAGGUGGAGCGAAUCCUUAAAACCGGUCUCAGUUCGGAUCGCAGUCUGCAACUCGACUGCGUGAAGCUGGAAUCGCUAGUAAUCG